UAGGGAAUCUUCGGCAAUGGACGAAAGUCUGACCGAGCAACGCCGCGUGAGUGAAGAAGGUUUUCGGAUCGUAAAACUCUGUUGUUAGAGAAGAACAAGGACGUUAGUAACUGAACGUCCCCUGACGGUAUCUAACCAGAAAGCCACGGCUAACUACGUGCCAGCAGCCGCGGUAAUACGUAGGUGGCAAGCGUUGUCCGGAUUUAUUGGGCGUAAAGCGAGCGCAGGCGGUUUCUUAAGUCUGAUGUGAAAGCCCCCGGCUCAACCGGGGAGGGUCAUUGGAAACUGGGAGACUUGAGUGCAGAAGAGGAGAGUGGAAUUCCAUGUGUAGCGGUGAAAUGCGUAGAUAUAUGGAGGCACACCAGUGGCGAAGGCGGCUCUCUGGUCUGUAACUGACGCUGAGGCUCGAGAGCGUGGGGAGCAAACAGG
rnacentral:rRNA from 1 species